rnacentral:rRNA from 1 species
AGUGAACGCUGGCGGUAGGCCUAACACAUGCAAGUCGAACGGCAGCACAGUAAGAGCUUGCUCUUACGGGUGGCGAGUGGCGGACGGGUGAGGAAUACAUCGGAAUCUACUUUUUCGUGGGGGAUAACGUAGGGAAACUUACGCUAAUACCGCAUACGACCUACGGGUGAAAGCAGGGGAUCUUCGGACCUUGCGCGAUUGAAUGAGCCGAUGUCGGAUUAGCUAGUUGGCGGGGUAAGGGCCCACCAAGGCGACGAUCCGUAGCUGGUCUGAGAGGAUGAUCAGCCACACUGGAACUGAGACACGGUCCAGACUCCUACGGGAGGCAGCAGUGGGGAAUAUUGGACAAUGGGCGCAAGCCUGAUCCAGCCAUACCGCGUGGGUGAAGAACGCCUUCGGGUUGUAAAGCCCUUUUGUUGGGAAAGAAAAGCAGCAGGUUAAUACCCCGCUGUUCUGACGGUACCCAAAGAAUAAGCACCGGCUAACUUCGUG